rnacentral:tRNA from 2 species
GGCCCGGUAGCUCAGUGGUAGAGCGUUCCGUUCACAUCGGAAAUGUCAGGAGUUCAAAUCUCUUCCGGGCCACCA